rnacentral:snRNA from 1 species
AUGGCUUUUGAAUCUUUAAAUUGAGAUUAAGUAGAUUAACUUCUUAUUAGCUUAAUAUGUGGUGCAUUCUCUAUCUGGGGCAAGCACAAUAAAUGCAUAUUUGGAACAGGAAGAUGGAACAGAAGCUUGCUUCCUCCACUUCAUGCAUUGACUUGGGUUUGCAGUACAUCUCAGAAUGGUGCACAUCUU